ACAACUUUAACAUAUUAAACUACAUUUAUAUAUGAAACUACUUAAAUUAAAAUGUAACUAUCAGACUUACGUAGAAAAUAUAUCUAACUUAAUAAUCAGACAACAUAGUAAACUAUUCUCCUUAAGUUUGUACUGUAUUUUCGAUAUAAUCCCAUGAUGCUAACCCUAAUUUGAUAAGAAAAGUCUGUGUCCUUCUCUCUUCUGCGCGCGACGGCGAUGGUGACGCUCGAGUUUCUUCACCGUUACUGAAACGGAUUUCGUUAUGGUUUUUUUGGUGUUUAAUCCCAUUAAAUCUGACGUUCACUACGAGUUCUUCAAUGUGUGGUUUGCGAAGGCGAAGCUCUGUCAAUUUGGUCCGGCAAGUGUUCAUCCGUUGUGGACAAGUCCCACAGAAUAGAAAGCAUAAACUCUACAAGAUCCAAACUGUGAAACGGUUGCACAACGAGUGGGUAGAGAAUGCAGAUUGAUGGGUUGCUGGAUUUCUGGAAAUAUUUGAAGAAGGUUUCAUAAGAAGGGGACUGCAAUCAGAGGGGGUAUCCAAGAGAGGUUAAUCAGAAAAUUCCCAGAAACAAACUGGAGAACGGUGAGGAUGAUGACACAGACGAUCAAUUCUAUGAAGAAUAUUUUGACCAUGACUUGGGCAGGGAUGAGGAUGAAGAUGAAUGACACUAUGCGAGGAUAAGGAAGAGAAAACUGUCAAGACGGAUGCAAAAGACAACAAGAUCAUUUUACUCAUGACAUGGUUACUAAAAUCUCUUAGUCUCUUACUCUAUCUCUUUUUAUCUAAGUAGAAUGCAUAUACUUGACAUAUAAUAUCAAAUGUUUAGAAAGGGAUCAAGUGUUGCUUUCUUGAUUUCGAUGAGAAGAUCAUAUAUGGUGUCUUGACCAUGAUCUCUUGCUUGACAUGAAAGGAAUUGAAAAAGGCAUUGUGCAUGAUAACGAUGAUGUAAUAAGUCGAGAAAAUCACAAGGUCUUGAAGAACAAAAUAGGAGGUCAACCUCUAUUCAUAAGUCACGGUUGGAUCAAGUGGGGAUGACCAAGACACCAUGGCUGAGCCAUUGCCAAGGGUUAACAAGAAGGGUGGUCGGCUCAGUUACAUGAUCAAGCCAAGGUUUAUGAGCUUCAAGCCAUGUUUGCAGGGGAAGCAACAUAUAUAACCCACUACUCUACAAUUCGUGAGGCUUACUUUCAUGGUUUCAAGGAAGCCGAUAGGCUUCUCAAGCAUUAAAAAGUGAUCUUUGAGUGUGUGUUUUAAGAUAUGUAUUUUUGGUCAAUAUGUUUAGAGAAGCAUAAUCAGUUUUGUAAGAUUUUUUUUAAGAGAGAAUAAACUUCUAUUAUAUGUCACGA